rnacentral:lncRNA from 1 species
GUUCAUUGAGUGGCUCUUACGACGUGCAGUGUGUUCGUUUGGGGAGCAGAGAAGCUGAGGAAGGUUCCCCUGUUGGAGGGCAGAGAGUUCCUGCUACCUUAUCACGGUUUAAAAUAGAAUGGGGUCAGCAGCACCGUUCCACCAUUUACACGUGAUGGGAUUUCACCCAGACGCACAAGCAGGAAAACAAACAAACAAAUAAGAGCAAAACAAAAAACCCAAGAAGCUUCCAGUGACCCUCAACCACAGUUCCUGGAGACACUGGAAGCAAGAGGAGAAUACCCCUGAACGGUUCCUUCAGAGAGACUGUGGGGAAAGUGGUUUUUCUUGGGGCCCAAGAAAAUUUGGCUAAGAUCUGGGGCCGGUCACAGCCUGUAUCCCAGGCAAUAGCUCAGAGAGUGACAUGGCAAAGCAGUAAAUUACAGAGUCUUCCAGGAAUGGUGCCAGAGAACUUGACAUUUCGCAUUCCCUCACACAUUGGCAGCUGUCACCACGGGUAACAAAAUGCAGGCACUACCCACGGCUCAAUAGGUAGCCUGUCCCCCAGAAUUUAGAAGCACCAUCUCUAUCUUUGACAGUCCUGUGUCUGGGGUCGCAGCUCCAGACGUAGUUUUGAUAAGACAGAAUGGUACACACGUAGUGGGAAUGGUGUUCUGUGAAUGUACACAUUGGGUUUAGGAUAGAAUCAAAGAAGCUGACAGCUUGGGCCUGCAUAGGUUUUGUGUCAGAGUCUGCAUUAUUCCCAGUGUGUUUCCCUGUUACUAAAAUAGGACACUGUCAUUGAGGAUGAUGUGGAAAGUUCAGAGAAAAGAUACAGAGGUGAUUUGGAAACAACCGUUCUGAUAUAAUUAUCAUGUUUUGUUACAAAUCUUGAGAGAGAGAGAGAGAGAGAGGGAGAGAGAGAGAGAGAGAGAGAUUAGAUUGCAUUACAUACAAUUGACAAAUAUGUACCUAACAAAAAUAUCGCAUAAUUUAAUAUUUGUGCAACUGAGCCUGCUUUCCUGAGCACAAUGCCUCCAUCAGUCACAAGAAGUCUCAUAGCUUCUUUAUUUGGGAUAGGCUGGCACCGUAUUCAUAAGGACUGGGUUGACAGGUAAUUAAUGGAACAAAAUCAUUUGUACUUAGUAAUAAAACAUCCAUUCCUUCACCCAAUUACAUAUUGACGUCUUCUAAAUCACAAUUAGAGUAAUCAAAAAAUUGAGCCUAUAUUCCUAUCUUUUUAAUAACAUUUUUUAAAAUUUUUUGAAAUUUCCCUAUGCUUAUGCAGUGCAUAAUUGACCCAUGUGUGCACAGCCCACCCCUGUCUUCCCUGGUUCCCUCCCUGAUCCAUGCUUUUUAUUUCAUGCUUUUUAUUUGUUAACUGUUAUGAAUAAUUCCCUGAGUCCAUUUACUUGUGUCCAUGAACACAUGAGUUUGUGGUCAUCUACUGGGGCAGGAGCAAUCUACACAGGCUAUUUCCCCCCAAGGAGAAUGGAUGACUGUUCCUUCCUCAGUUGAUACCAACAUUCAGUAAUCCCUCCAAUAGGACUAAGGCCUGGGGCCUCUCCCCACUGGUGCUGGAAUUUUGGCUGGCUUGAUCUUGUACGGUCUUGUUCAGAUAAGCAGAGCCACUGUGAGUUCAUGGGGACAAUACCCUGAAAGGUCCAGAGGCAGGAUUUCACAGCACUCUUACCCAUCUUCUGGUUCUUGUACUCUUCCUAUGCCUUGUAUUCUUUCUGUGAUGUUCCCUGAACCUGGUAUGAGGAGCGAUCAGAAGAGAGUUGAGCAUUCAAUAGUCACUUCCUCUCAGCACUACUCAUAAAGCAGCUUCUCUGGCCCAGGUUGAGAGCAGCACCAUUUUUUUUCCUAGACAAGGUUUCUCUGUGUAGCCUGGCUGUCCUGGAACUCACUUUGUAGACCAGGCUGGCCUCGAACCCAGAAAUCCACCUGCCUCUGUCUCCCAAGUGCUGGGAUUAAAGGUGUGCGCCACCACCCGCCCAGCCAAGCACCACCAAUUUAUAGAUAGAAAUAAAAUAUUAGAAGGCAGUUUGAUAAUGUGGCCAUUUAGCAAAAUGGCAAUAGUAGUUUGCCACUCUAGGGCUUAUAAUAUCCCAAAUUAUGGGCCUUUUGCUAGGUUGACAGUAUCUGACUCGAAAUCUGUCCUGUGAGUCAGCUCACAUAUCUAAUGAAAAAGUAAUUGGUUACCCCCAUAACCUCCAUGCCACUAUUAUUCUAGUGGAUAUUUUUUGGCUAGCGGACAUAUCAACUUCUAGCAGUAUAUAAGCUAGCCAGCAGGGAGAAAGUUUCCUGGUCAAUUCCAGCUUGUUUUCUCUAUGUCUUUGAAAGUAUGUGGUGUCGUCAGCAAGAGUCGUACUGUCUAGUUGCAGUGGAUAAUCAAGAUUAAUGACAAUGCCCUUUGUCGUUUGGAUACCUCCCUGACUAAUAACUCUCUUGUCCAUAAGUAGUGAUGUGUAGCUUUGUGGGAAAUGUUUUAAUACACACUGGUAAGCUUGAUUACAAUGCGCUCAGAUACUUUAAUGAUUGCCAGCUGAUCUUCAAAACACAUCAAAGAAUAUUAGGAACUAGGUUUCACUUUUCAUUUGCUGGAACUUAAGAACAGAUUAACCCUUUUCCGUCUCUGAAUCAGCUAUGCAUUCUUUGAAGACUGGGUUUCUCUUGAAGGAGAGCUGGAAGCUUUAGGCAAAUGGGGAUUUAACACCCCAAAGUCCUUCAUAGAGUGUCACCUGUAUCUCUGAGAACCGUGGACAUUUUGAGCCCAUCACAGUGAUCUGGCAGUCUCUGUCACCUUCAGCCAUCUGUCAGGAAAGUGGAAUUCUGUCUUCCCAUCCACAGACAUUGACCUCACCCAGAAUCACAUCAGUAUCCAUCUCAAGGAAUUUCCAUCGACAACCGGUGUUCUGAUUUUUAAUUAGCAUUCUCCCUUCUCUACUGCCCCAGCCGUAAUGACUCUCAACAGAGGUGAGAGUCUGACAAAUGGAUGUGCUCCCAUCCAGAGCUACAUCGGCUGUGUGAGGCAGCAGCAGCAAUGUCACAAGCUGCUUACUAAAAGCAAGUGUUAAGUGGCAAUGCUGACUAUGAGAGCACAUGCUUGAAACAAGCACUCAGCUCACCAGUGGGGACCCUGAAAACACUCUCCCUGAGAAAGGACAGUCACGACAAGGGCUUAGCCUUGACUGGGCGUGGCACACAGGCUCAAUGAUUCUUCCUCCUCUGCCUUCUUCACCAUAAGCAGUGGCUAUGUGACCCUGUGACUUCUCUAAGGUCUUCUGUAUUGACUUAUCAAACUCUUUCUGCUGCCCAUCAGGUUGGAAUCACUCUAUUCUGUCCAUAGACACAGAGUUACAUGGAAAAGUGAAGCUACCUGGUGGUGGUGGCACAUGUCUUUAAUCCCAGCAGUACAAAGGCACAGACAGGCAGAUCUCUGAGUUCGAGGCCAGCCUGGUCUAUAGAGUGAGUUUCAGGACAUCCAGGGCUACACAGAGAAACCCUGUAUCUUGGAAAAGGGAGGAGGAGGAAGAGGAGGAGGAGGAGGAAGAGAGAAGCAACUGCGGCUAGAUUUAUCUACCCGAGUGGAUUCCGAGGCUCUAAGAACUGCAUACACUGAUUAUGUAAACUAGAUCAGUAUUUAUAUGUAUAUAUUAUUUUCUUCUUAAAUUAUAUAUUUAUUGGUACAUACUUAUUAUAUAAAAUGAUGGGUUUCAUUACGUCGUUUUCACUCACGUGUGUCACAGACACUUUUAUUUACUGCCUUACCUUCUCUUGUUCCUUCUUCUUCCCUUCUCCGAUUGGUUUUCUUCCUCUUCCCAAAUCUGUAUGUGUAUGUUCAUGUGUAUGUGUAUGUAAACAUGUAUGUAUAUAUAUAAAUGUGUAUGUGAGUAUGCAUGGACACGUGCAUGUGUGUGUGCAUGUGUA